rnacentral:misc_RNA from 1 species
GAUGAAGAACGCAGCGAAAUGCGAUAAGUAAUGUGAAUUGCUGAAUUCAGUGAAUCAUCGAAUCUUUGAACGCACAUUGCGCCCCUUGGUAUUCCGAGGGGCAUGCCUGUUCGAGCGUCAUUAUAACCCCUCAAGCUCGGCUUGGUGUUGGGGCCUGCCGCACGGGCAGCCCUUAAAAUCAGUGGCGGUGCCAUCUGGCUCUAAGCGUAGUAAUUCUUCUCGCUAUAGAGUCCCGGUGGAUGCUUGCCAUUAACCCCCAAUUUCAAUGGUUGACCUCGGAUCAGGUAGGGAUACCCGCUGAACUUAAGCAUAUCAAUAAGCGGAGGA